GGGUUCAGAUGAGUGGCCAAAAAAGAGGUCAAAGUGGGCGAAAGAGAGGUCAAAGUGGGCGAAAGAGAGGUCAAAGGGCAAGGUGAGGUCUUUAAAGUUGGGGGGCAUUAGCUGAAGUUGCAUUUCUACUUUAUUAUAGAGUAGAAAAAAAGCUUAUCUUCGAGUACGCCUACAAAAUUGAAGUUCUGUGUAGCCUAACUUGAGGAAAUGGGUAGAGCAGGAAGUUGGGUAAAGUUUGGGGCAUUAGCUAAAGUUACAUUUCUACUUUCUUAUAGAGUAGAAAAUGUUUAUCAUCGUAGGUUAGGUUAGGUUAGGUUAGGUUAGGUUAGGAUAGGGCAGGAAGUUAGGUAAGAUAAAGUUGGGGAUAUACGCUUAAGUUCCACAAUUUCUACUUUAUUAUAGACUAGAAAAAAAAGUUUACCUUCGAGUAAGCAUAUAAAUUAAAGUUCUGUCUAGCUUAAUUAACUUGAGGAGAGGAGGAAGAGCAGGAAGUUGGGUAAAGUAAAGUUUGGGGGAUUAGCUAAAGCUGCAUUUCCACUUUAUUAUAGAGUAGAAAAAAGUUUAUCAUCGUAGGUUAGGUUCGGUUAGGGCAGGAAGUUAGGUAAGAUAAAGUUUGGGGCAUUAGCUAAAGUUGCAUUUCCACUUUAUUAUAGAGUAGAAAAAAUUUAUCAUCGUAGGUUAGGUUCGGUUAGGGCAGGAAGUGAGGUAAGAUAAAGUUGGGGGCAUUAGCUAAAGUUGCACAAUUUCUACUUUUUUAUAGAGUAAAAAAAAAGUUUAUGAUCGAGUAAACCUAUAAAAUUUUAAGUUCUGCCUAGCUUAACUUGAGGAGAGGAGGAAGAGCAGGAAAUUAGGUAAGCUAAAGUUAGUGGUAUACGUUAUAGCUGUACAAUUUCUACUUUAUUAUAGAGUAGAAAAAAAGUUUACCUUCGAGAAAGCCUAUAAAAUUAAAAGUUGUUUCUAGCUGCAAUUUCUCCUCCUUUCCUCCUCCAUUUUCCACUUCAACAGAGCGAAAUGGAAGAAAGGACGGAAGGAAGAUGACAAAAGGAAAAGGAAUAGGAAGAGGAAAAGGUUAAGGGAGGAAACGGAGAGUGAAAAGCGAAGUGAAAUGGACGGAAGAAAGGAAAAAGUUGGAAAGUUUCGUUUAGUCGGCGCAACAUCUGUGGUCAUAUGCCGGAGAGAGACAGGAGGGGGAAGGAAUUAUAGGAGAAGGGAACAGACCCCAGGAGACGGGACACAACCCCCGAUUAAUACUCAUUCACUGCUGGGUGGACAGGGGCGUAGGGUAUCGGAAAAGCCGCCCAAAUUUUUCCACUCCGCCCGGGAAUCACGGAAGAAAGGAGUGUGUGUGUGUGUGUGUGUGUGUGUGUGUGUUUAGUAUUAUAAUGUGUAGGGGUAGUGUGUUUGGUAGUGGUGUGUGUGUGUGUUGCGAGAAUGUCUUUGUGCAGUGUGAGUAGCCAUGAGCGCCAAAGUCGAUAUCCUUAUUUUAUGACGUGUAAAUUUGUGUGCGUGUCUGUGAACGUGAUGGGAAGGGAAGGGCAAGUUUCUCAGUAAGCUAACACACACACGCACACACACACACACACACAAUAUUACAUAUCUCCUGGAAUUUUAAUCUGCAGGAAAUGGGAAAUGGAGUUCUGGUGGUAAUUAAAUAAAAAAAAGUAAGGCGCGAUGUCAUGCAAAUACUUCGAAAUGAGAAAAAAAGAUCAUGCCGUAAGAUAGGAAUUAAUGAACUCUUCCUUCCUCCUCUUCCUCCUCCUCCUCCUCCUCCUUCUUCAUUUUCCACUUGAAUAGAUAAAGUUGCUGCGGAGUUUUAAUCCACAGAUAAAAAAAAAAAAGGAAGCGUUUAAGAGAGAAAAAAAAUCUUAUGGAAAUAUAUUUAGAUAGAUAGACCGUCAGGAACUAAUGAACUCUUCCUUCUUCCUCUUCCUCCUCCUCCUCCUUCUUCAUUUUCCACUUGAAUAGAUUAAGUUGCUGCGAAGUUUGAAUCCACAGGUAAAAAAAAAGGAAGCGUUUAAGAAAGAAAAAAAAUUAUGGAAAGAUAUUUAGAUAGAUAGACAGUCAGAUAAAUAUGCAGAUAUAUAGACAAAAAAUGAAAAAAAGUAUAUGUGAACGACAAUUUGACAAAGAAGAAGAAAUAGAAAAAAUAUUGAGUCGUAAGGGAAAAUAAAACAAAUAAAAUACAGAUAAAUUGAUAGAUACAUAAAUGGAUAGUCAGAUAAAUAUAAAGAUUGACAUAGCGACAAAAAUGAAAAACUAAAGAAUAAAUAAAUGAAAUAAAGACGAAAUACAGAAAAUAUGAUCAUAGUCUAACAAGAGAGAGAAUAAGAGAGAAACAAAACAAAACAUAUUGAAAGACAGAAAGAUGGAUAGAUAAAUACAGAAAAUAAUUGAAUAAAUGAAAGAAAAAAGACGAAACAGAGAGAACACAACUACCACCAUAGCCUACCAAGAGAGAAAAACGAGAAAACAAACCAACAGACAGAUAGAAAGAGAGGUAGAAAGAGAGAUAGAGAUAAAUAAUGAAUAAACAAAUGCAAGAAAAAAAA